CUCUGGAGAGGCUUUUAUUGUGUUUGGUCUGGAGGAGAUCUUCAGAAACUGAAAAAGGAUAAAGAAGAUACAGAGUGAGACAGAUGAUGGAGAAUGAUCUGAACAGAAAGUGAGAAUCAGCAGAUCAUUAAACAAACUGGUGAAGUCAGACCAACAGAAAGAUUAACAGAAGGAAGAACGUCUGCAACACCUCAGAAAGCCUCCUUGGAAGAGAUGCUGACUGCUGGCCCCCUUUGCACCAUCUCUAUGGGAUUGGUACCUUUCACAUUGAAACCGAUACAGUACCGAUGCCUGGUAUCUGGGAAUCGAUGCCGGCACUCAAUGACGACAAGUCGCUUACGGAUGCAGGUGUGCUAACGGUGCCGAAUGCAGGAGCUGUGG